AACGAACGCUGGCGGCGUGCUUAACACAUGCAAGUCGAACGGAACCGCCCGGCUUUUGUGGGGUGCUCGAGUGGCGAACGGGUGAGUAACCCGUGAGUUACCUGCCCCUGACCUUGGGGUAACUUCAGGAAACUGGGGCUAAUACCGGAUAGGAGCUCCUGCUGCAUGGUGGGGGUUGGUAGGUUUCGGCGGUUGGGGAUGGACUCGCGGCUUAUCAGCUUGUUGGUGGGGUAGUGGCUUACCAAGGCCUUGACGGGUAGCCGGGCUGAGAGGGGAAGCGGCCAAACUACGACUGGGCUGAGACACAGACUACUACGGGAGGGAAGGGAGGGGAAGAGUAUAUUAGGGGCGGAAGCCUGAUGUAACAACGCCGCGCCGGGUAUGACAGGCAUGGGGUAGGAAUCCGAAUUCGCCUGUGCCGAAGCGUGAGUGACGGUAAUGGGUAAAGAAGCACCGGCUAACUACGUG
rnacentral:rRNA from 1 species